rnacentral:rRNA from 1 species
GACGAACGCUGGCGGCGUGCCUAAUACAUGCAAGUUGAGCGCUGAAGGUUGGUACUUGUACCGACUGGAUGAGCAGCGAACGGGUGAGUAACGCGUGGGGAAUCUGCCUUUGAGCGGGGGACAACAUUUGGAAACGAAUGCUAAUACCGCAUAAAAACUUUAAACACAAGUUUUAAGCUUGGAAGAUGCAAUUGCAUCACUCAAAGAUGAUCCCGCGUUGUAUUAGCUAGUUGGUGAGGUAAAGGCUCACCAAGGCGAUGAUACAUAGCCGACCCGAGAGGGUGAUCGGCCACAUUGGGACUGAGAAACGGCCCAAACUCCUACGGGAGGCAGCAGUAGGGAAUCUUCGGCAAUGGACGAAAGUCUGACCGAGCAACGCCGCGUGAGUGAAGAAGGUUUUCGGAUCGUAAAACUCUGUUGGUAGAGAAGAACGUUGGUGAGAGUGGAAAGCUCAUCAAGUGACGGUAACUACCCAGAAAGGGACGGCUAACUACGUGCCAGCAGCCGCCGUAA